rnacentral:rRNA from 1 species
UACGGGGGGGUGCGAGCGUUGUCCGGAAUCACUGGGCGUAAAAGGGCGCGUAGGUGGUCUGAUAAGGGUGUGGUGAAAAGCCCGGGGCUCAACCCCCGGGUCGGCCGUGCCGACUGUUAGACUAGAGUGCUGUAGAGGCAGGCGGAAUUCCGGGGUGUAGCGGUGGAAAUGCGUAGAGAUCCGGAAGAACACCGGUGGCGAAGGCGGCCUGCUGGGCAGUUGCUGACACUGAGGCGCGACAGCGUGGGGGAGCAAACAGG